rnacentral:rRNA from 1 species
GAUGAACGCUAGCGGCAGGCCUAACACAUGCAAGUCGAGGGAGAAGCCCUUCGGGGCAGAAACCGGCGCACGGGUGCGUAACGCGUAUGCAACCUACCUUUCACAGGGGGAUAGCCCGAAGAAAUUUGGAUUAAUACCCCAUAAUAUUGUUGGAUGGCAUCAUUUGACAAUUAAAACUGAGGUGGUGGAAGAUGGGCAUGCGUCCUAUUAGCUAGUUGGAGUGGUAACGGCACCCCAAGGCUACGAUAGGUAGGAGUCCUGAGAGGGAGAUCCCCCACACUGGUACUGAGACAGGGACCAGACUCCUACGGGAGGCAGCAGUGAGGAAUAUUGGUCAAUGGUCGGAAGACUGAACCAGCCAUGCCGCGUGCAGGAAGAAUGCCUUAUGGGUUGUAAACUGCUUUUAUAUGGGAAGAAUAAGGUGUACGUGUACAUUGAUGACGUACCAUAUGAAUAAAGC